CGUGUAGGCGGUUAGGUAGGUGGGUUGUGAAAACUGGAGGCUCAACCUUCAGACGUCGACCCAAACCCCCUGGCUAGAGUCCGGAAGAGGAGAGUGGAAUUCCUGGUGUAGCGGUGAAAUGCGCAGAUAUCAGGAAGAACACCCGUGGCGAAGGCGGCUCUCUGGGACGGUACUGACGCUGAGACGCGAAAGCGUGGGGAGCGAACA
rnacentral:rRNA from 1 species